GGGUUGUGAGGUUAAGCGACUAAGCGUACACGGUGGAUGCCCUGGCAGUCAGAGGCGAUGAAGGACGUGCUAAUCUGCGAUAAGCGUCGGUAAGGUGAUAUGAACCGUUAUAACCGGCGAUUUCCGAAUGGGGAAACCCAGUGUGUUUCGACACACUAUCAUUAACUGAAUCCAUAGGUUAAUGAGGCGAACCGGGGGAACUGAAACAUCUAAGUACCCCGAGGAAAAGAAAUCAACCGAGAUUCCCCCAGUAGCGGCGAGCGAACGGGGAGCAGCCCAGAGCCUGAAUCAGUAUGUGUGUUAGUGGAAGCGUCUGGAAAGGCGCGCGAUACAGGGUGACAGCCCCGUACACAAAAAUGCACAUGCUGUGAGCUCGAUGAGUAGGGCGGGACACGUGGUAUCCUGUCUGAAUAUGGGGGGACCAUCCUCCAAGGCUAAAUACUCCUGACUGACCGAUAGUGAACCAGUACCGUGAGGGAAAGGCGAAAAGAACCCCGGCGAGGGGAGUGAAAAAGAACCUGAAACCGUGUACGUACAAGCAGUGGGAGCACAGAGCAAUCUGUGUGACUGCGUACCUUUUGUAUAAUGGGUCAGCGACUUAUAUUCUGUAGCAAGGUUAACCGAAUAGGGGAGCCGAAGGGAAACCGAGUCUUAACUGGGCGUUAAGUUGCAGGGUAUAGACCCGAAACCCGGUGAUCUAGCCAUGGGCAGGUUGAAGGUUGGGUAACACUAACUGGAGGACCGAACCGACUAAUGUUGAAAAAUUAGCGGAUGACUUGUGGCUGGGGGUGAAAGGCCAAUCAAACCGGGAGAUAGCUGGUUCUCCCCGAAAGCUAUUUAGGUAGCGCCUCGUGAAUUCAUCUCCGGGGGUAGAGCACUGUUUCGGCAAGGGGGUCAUCCCGACUUACCAACCCGAUGCAAACUGCGAAUACCGGAGAAUGUUAUCACGGGAGACACACGGCGGGUGCUAACGUCCGUCGUGAAGAGGGAAACAACCCAGACCGCCAGCUAAGGUCCCAAAGUCAUGGUUAAGUGGGAAACGAUGUGGGAAGGCCCAGACAGCCAGGAUGUUGGCUUAGAAGCAGCCAUCAUUUAAAGAAAGCGUAAUAGCUCACUGGUCGAGUCGGCCUGCGCGGAAGAUGUAACGGGGCUAAACCAUGCACCGAAGCUGCGGCAGCGACGCUGAUGCGUUGUUGGGUAGGGGAGCGUUCUGUAAGCCUGCGAAGGUGUGCUGUGAGGCAUGCUGGAGGUAUCAGAAGUGCGAAUGCUGACAUAAGUAACGAUAAAGCGGGUGAAAAGCCCGCUCGCCGGAAGACCAAGGGUUCCUGUCCAACGUUAAUCGGGGCAGGGUGAGUCGACCCCUAAGGCGAGGCCGAAAGGCGUAGUCGAUGGGAAACAGGUUAAUAUUCCUGUACUUGGUGUUACUGCGAAGGGGGGACGGAGAAGGCUAUGUUGGCCGGGCGACGGUUGUCCCGGUUUAAGCGUGUAGGCUGGUUUUCCAGGCAAAUCCGGAAAAUCAAGGCUGAGGCGUGAUGACGAGGCACUACGGUGCUGAAGCAACAAAUGCCCUGCUUCCAGGAAAAGCCUCUAAGCAUCAGGUAACAUCAAAUCGUACCCCAAACCGACACAGGUGGUCAGGUAGAGAAUACCAAGGCGCUUGAGAGAACUCGGGUGAAGGAACUAGGCAAAAUGGUGCCGUAACUUCGGGAGAAGGCACGCUGAUAUGUAGGUGAAGUCCCUCGCGGAUGGAGCUGAAAUCAGUCGAAGAUACCAGCUGGCUGCAACUGUUUAUUAAAAACACAGCACUGUGCAAACACGAAAGUGGACGUAUACGGUGUGACGCCUGCCCGGUGCCGGAAGGUUAAUUGAUGGGGUUAGCGCAAGCGAAGCUCUUGAUCGAAGCCCCGGUAAACGGCGGCCGUAACUAUAACGGUCCUAAGGUAGCGAAAUUCCUUGUCGGGUAAGUUCCGACCUGCACGAAUGGCGUAAUGAUGGCCAGGCUGUCUCCACCCGAGACUCAGUGAAAUUGAACUCGCUGUGAAGAUGCAGUGUACCCGCGGCAAGACGGAAAGACCCCGUGAACCUUUACUAUAGCUUGACACUGAACAUUGAGCCUUGAUGUGUAGGAUAGGUGGGAGGCUUUGAAGUGUGGACGCCAGUCUGCAUGGAGCCGACCUUGAAAUACCACCCUUUAAUGUUUGAUGUUCUAACGUUGACCCGUAAUCCGGGUUGCGGACAGUGUCUGGUGGGUAGUUUGACUGGGGCGGUCUCCUCCUAAAGAGUAACGGAGGAGCACGAAGGUUGGCUAAUCCUGGUCGGACAUCAGGAGGUUAGUGCAAUGGCAUAAGCCAGCUUGACUGCGAGCGUGACGGCGCGAGCAGGUGCGAAAGCAGGUCAUAGUGAUCCGGUGGUUCUGAAUGGAAGGGCCAUCGCUCAACGGAUAAAAGGUACUCCGGGGAUAACAGGCUGAUACCGCCCAAGAGUUCAUAUCGACGGCGGUGUUUGGCACCUCGAUGUCGGCUCAUCACAUCCUGGGGCUGAAGUAGGUCCCAAGGGUAUGGCUGUUCGCCAUUUAAAGUGGUACGCGAGCUGGGUUUAGAACGUCGUGAGACAGUUCGGUCCCUAUCUGCCGUGGGCGCUGGAGAACUGAGGGGGGCUGCUCCUAGUACGAGAGGACCGGAGUGGACGCAUCACUGGUGUUCGGGUUGUCAUGCCAAUGGCACUGCCCGGUAGCUAAAUGCGGAAGAGAUAAGUGCUGAAAGCAUCUAAGCACGAAACUUGCC
rnacentral:rRNA from 1 species